rnacentral:rRNA from 1 species
CCUGCGGAAGGAUCAUUACCGAGUGAGGGCCCUCUGGGUCCAACCUCCCACCCGUGUCUAUCGUACCUUGUUGCUUCGGCGGGCCCGCCGUUUCGACGGCCGCCGGGGAGGCCCUGCGCCCCCGGGCCCGCGCCCGCCGAAGACCCCAACAUGAACGCUGUUCUGAAAGUAUGCAGUCUGAGUUGAUUAUCGUAAUCAGUUAAAACUUUCAACAACGGAUCUCUUGGUUCCGGCAUCGAUGAAGAACGCAGCGAAAUGCGAUAAGUAAUGUGAAUUGCAGAAUUCAGUGAAUCAUCGAGUCUUUGAACGCACAUUGCGCCCCCUGGUAUUCCGGGGGGCAUGCCUGUCCGAGCGUCAUUGCUGCCCUCAAGCACGGCUUGUGUGUUGGGCCCCCGUCCCCCUCUCCCGGGGGACGGGCCCGAAAGGCAGCGGCGGCACCGCGUCCGGUCCUCGAGCGUAUGGGGCUUUGUCACCUGCUCUGUAGGCCCGGCCGGCGCCAGCCGACACCCAACUUUAUUUUUCUAAGGUUGACCUCGGAUCAGGUAGGGAUACCCGCUGAACUUAAGCAUAUCA